GACAGAGGUUGCAAACGUUGUUCGGAAUCACUGGGCUUAAAGGGCGCGUAGGCGGGCGACCAAGUCAGGGGUGAAAUCCUCCGGCUCAACCGGAGAACAGCCUUUGAUACUGGUCACCUCGAGGGAGGUAGGGGCAUGUGGAACUUCCGGUGGAGCGGUGAAAUGCGUAGAUAUCGGAAGGAACGCCGGUGGCGAAAGCGACGUGCUGGACCUCUUCUGACGCUGAGGCGCGAAAGCUAGGGGAGCAAACGGG
rnacentral:rRNA from 1 species